rnacentral:lncRNA from 1 species
GAAAAUGUUGUGUCGGUUCAGCUAGAAAUGAUUAAUCAGAGGUGAGAUGAUUAGUAGCACCUAAUCUAGAAACCACACAUAGGGUUUUAAUAUGCACUAUUAGUAGUGACACCCAUAGCAUGGGGAUGAGAAUGAGGAACGUAAGUUGAAUCUGGUCUAACAGAACCACAUAGUGCAGAGGUGUGAUGUUGAUAGUGUUCAACAUAAUUAGGUUAGGAAGGUCUUGAGGUAGAAUAAGAAGGAUAGGUUGGUCUAGAUCUAUAAGGAUGAGAAGGCAAAGUAGGAUUUGGAUGACGUGGCAUAAGGUUUGAAAAUUAAAACCAUUAGCACUUGGAUGUUGAUAUGUAUCACCAUAGGUAGAAGGUGCACCAGAAGAUGAGCGUACACCAUAGGAAGGAUCAUCUGGUGGAUAGUAGGACCAUGCCACAUCAUGGCCAUGACAGUUACAACUUACAAUACUC